GGACCGGUAGCUCAGCGGUAGAGCGUGGGAUUGCAGUUCUCCUACAAUUAUCCUAAGGUCACGCGUUCGACCCGCGUUCGGUCCU
rnacentral:tRNA from 1 species